GUUUGCCUUAGGGUUAAGAUAGGCUCCGGUUAGUAAUAUUGGGUGUUCCUCAGGAGCGACCCGGAGUUCAUUGUAGAAGGUGUGGUGCCAAAUUUUCUCCAUGUCACCCCAGUUGCUGACAAUUCCAUGCUCAAUUCAAGUGUGGCAGGUCUACCAACAAUACUGGGAAAAACUGCUCUAGGAGCAUCAUCACCAGCGAAUCCAGCCUUGUUUGCCAAAGGCAACAGAAACCAAAGAAAUUUCAGUGUCUAUGCCCAGAACUGAAGCACAAUAUUGAAUAUCAAAGAAGAAGCAACUGCUAAUGUGAAAUGACUGACCUUGACCAUUCCAGUUCCGUUGUCACAAACAAGAGGUUGGAUAUCCUCAGGAUCAUCCAUGUUCUGUAUAUCAGAAUCAGAAAUGCACAGGAGGAUGUUAGCAAUCUCAUCGUAAUAUACUUUAUGAAACAUGCUAAACUACAUGACUUUACACAUCUAAGGUCAGCAAACUAAAAAUACAUGCCCUCCCUUUGCAAUAUCUUAAAUUGCAGAGAGCCGAGUCAAAGAAUUGUGGAGCAUUAAAAUCCAAUGAGGAUUAGUCAAAAUUUUGUAGGAGCAAAUCAUAUACAUAAUGCACACUCCUUAGAACAAGAAUUCCAAAUAGGUCAAUUUAUCAAAAUAAUCCAAAAAGGUUUGAGUAUUUUUUUAUCUUGAAAAAAGUCCUCAAGCAGCCAGCUUUUGUGGUUGGCAAAUAAAAUGUCUUCGAAGACCUUAAUUUCUGUAAAUUUCCCGGCCAAAGUACCAUCUCUCCUUGGUAGAAGAAAACACUAACCCUGAAUCAAGACUUGGCGGCUAUUUUCACUAGCACAAUUAUCAAACUGAAUCCUAAUAAAUAUCUCUUUCGACAUUGCCAGAAUUGUUCCACGAAGAACAUUAUAUGUGAUUGUGAAUCCGCAUACUCUGCUUUACACCGGUGACGGAGUUCUUUUUGCGAGAUUUAAUGUUUCAGUUUAAUACUAGCAAAAAAUCUAACUACCGAAUCCGCUGCCUCGAAUCUUUGGCUACUAAUAGAGAACACAAAAUUGAACGAAAAGGAUAAUUAAAACAAAAAACAAAAGUUGAAUACAAUCAAGCCGGAUUGUUCUGACUGAGACGGCAAUAGAUUUCUACUGAAUAAAAGAUCAGAUCCAAAACAAAUUAAUAAAAAAAAUACGGAUCCUGACGGAGAGAACCUCAAAAGAUCAAAACAUUAAAAAAAAAAAACAACCGUAGAUCUGAUAACUUUGCCCUAUCUAAUUCAAAAACCCAAAGUUCAUCU